rnacentral:rRNA from 1 species
GCGUAGUAAGCAGGCGGAAUUCGUGGUGUAGCGGUGAAAUGCUUAGAUAUCACGAAGAACUCCGAUAGCGCAGGCAGCUUGCUGCAUCGCAACUGACGCUGAUGCUCGAAAGCGUGGGUAUCAAACAGGAUUAGAUACCCUGGUAGUCCACGCGGUAAACGAUGGAUGCUCGUUGUCAGGCCUUUGGGUUUGGUGACCAAGUGAAAACGUUAAGCAUCCCACCUGGGGAGUACGCCGGCAACGGUGAAACUCAAAGGAAUUGACGGGGGCCCGCACAAGCGGAGGAACAUGUGGUUUAAUUCGAUGAUACGCGAGGAACCUUACCCGGGCUUGAACUGCGGCGGAACGAUUCAGAGAUGAUGAGGUCCUUCGGGACUGCCGCGGAGGUGCUGCAUGGUUGUCGUCAGCUCGUGCCGUGAGGUGUCGGCUUAAGUGCCAUAACGAGCGCAACCCCUUUUCUUAGUUGCCAUCGGGUAAUGCCGGGCACUCUGGGAAUACUGCCACCGUAAGGUGUGAGGAAGGUGGGGAUGACGUCAAAUCAGCACGGCCCUUACGUCCGGGGCUACACACGUGUUACAAUGGCGCAUACAGAUAGUUGGUUGUGUGCAAACAUGAUCUAAUCUUUAAAGUGCGUCUCAGUUCGGACUGGGGUCUGCAACCCGACCCCACGAAGCUGGAUUCGCUAGUAAUCGCGCAUCAGCCAUGGCGCGGUGAAUACGUUCCCGGGCCUUGUACACACCGCCCGUCAAGCCAUGAAAGCCGGGGGCGCCUGAAGUCCGUGACCGCGAGGGUCGGCCUAGGGUGAAACCGGUGAUUGGGGCUAAGUCGUAACAAGGUAGCCGUACCGGAAGGUGCGGCUGGAACACCU